rnacentral:rRNA from 1 species
GGGCCCGCACAAGCAGCGGAGCGUGUGGUUUAAUUCGAUGUUACACGAAGAACCUUACCAGGGUUUGACAUGCAAGUGGUAGCGAAGAGAAAUUGGAGCGACCCUUCGGGGAGCUUGCACAGGUGCUGCAUGGCUGUCGUCAGCUCGUGUCGUGAGAUGUUCGGUUAAGUCCGCUAACGAGCGCAACCCUCGCCGUGUGUUACAAGUGUCACACGGGACAGCCGGUCUUAAGCCGGAGGAAGGUGGGGAUGACGUCAAGUCAGCAUGGCCUUUAUGUCCUGGGCUACACACACGCUACAAUGGCCGGUACAACAGGUAGCGAAGCCGCGAGGUGGAGCCAAUCCAGAAAGCCGGUCUCAGUUCAGAUUGCAGGCUGCAACCCGCCUGCAUGAAGCUGGAGUUGCUAGUAACUGCAGGUCAGCUAUACUGCAGUGAAUACGUUCCCGGGCCUU